CACACUGCCACGCGUGCGAUUCGGCCCCGCCUCCUCCCGGGCGCUGGCUGCGCGCGCAACCCUCCCAGCCUGCCCUGCGGCUCAGGGAGGAGCACCGCGUGCCGCUAGCCUGGUUCCUGCUGUUGGAGGUUUGGCGACAAAGUGACAGCUGGCCGGUUUGGCUCCUCCCCUCAGUCCCCGGCGCUCUGGCUUUCCCUGUUUUUCCUCUCCUAGGAACCACCUCCUCCUCACGGCAGCAGCGAGGGGUCCUGUGUUAUCUUAAAUUUGGGAUGCAUAUAUCAUCAGAUACACCUUUUUCAGUGGACAUACUUUUUUGAAGAAAUGUGAAAGAUUACCAUAUGAAAUUUUACAUAGAGUCAGGGUUCACACUAAGAGAAGGAGCCUAUUGAUGGUCAGCGUAGCACCAGAGUUUUUCAAGAAGAUGUGGACAUUAUUUCAAUGAGAAUUUUAAAAACAUCUUCAAUCUACACAUGUAA